rnacentral:rRNA from 1 species
AGUGAACGCUGGCGGUAGGCCUAACACAUGCAAGUCGAACGGCAGCACAGUAAGAGCUUGCUCUUACGGGUGGCGAGUGGCGGACGGGUGAGGAAUACAUCGGAAUCUACUUUUUCGUGGGGGAUAACGUAGGGAAACUUACGCUAAUACCGCAUACGACCUACGGGUGAAAGCAUGGGAUCUUCGGACCUUGCGCGAUUGAAUGAGCCGCUGUCGGAUUAGCUAGUUGGCGGGGUAAAGGCCCACCAAGGCGACGAUCCGUAGCUGGUCUGAGAGGAUGAUAAGCCACACUGGAACUGAGACACGGUCAAGACUCCUAAGGGAGGCAGCAGUGGGGAAUAUUGGACAAUGGGCGCAAGCCUGAUCCAGCCAUACCGCGUGGGUGAAGAAGGCCUUCGGGUUGUAAAGCCCUUUUGUUGGGAAAGAAAAGCAGCAGGUUAAUACCCCGCUGUUCUGACGGUACCCAAAGAAUAAGCACCGGCUAACUUCGUG